GUGCCAGCCGCCGCGGUAAUACCGGCAGCUCAAGUGAUGGCCGCUGUUAUUGGGCCUAAAGCGUCCGUAGCUGGCCGCACAAGUCCGUCGGGAAAUCCGCCCGCUCAACGGGCGGCCGUCCGGCGGAACCUGUGUGGCUUGGGACCGGGAGGCCUGAGGGGUACGAUCGGGGUAGGAGUGAAAUCCCAUAAUCCCGCACGGACCACCGAUGGCGAAAGCACUUCGCGAAAACGGAUCCGACAGUGAGGGACGAAAGCCAGGGUCUCCAACCGGAUUAGAAACCCUUGUAAUCC
rnacentral:rRNA from 1 species